GGUCUUAUGGUCUAGUGGUAUGAUUCUCGCUUAGGGCACCUAAGCAGCUUGCGAGAGGCCCCGCGUUCGAAUCGCGGUAAGACCC